rnacentral:rRNA from 1 species
GAUGAACGCUGGCGGCGUGCCUAAUACAUGCAAGUCGAGCGAACAGAUGAGGAGCUUGCUCCUCUGACGUUAGCGGCGGACGGGUGAGUAGCACGUGGAUAACCUACCUAUAAGACUGGGAUAACUUCGGGAAACCGGAGCUAAUACCGGAUAAUAUAUUGAACCGCAUGGUUCAAUAGUCAAAGACGGUUUUGCUGUCACUUAUAGAUGGAUCCGCGCCGCAUUAGCUAGUUGGUAAGGUAACGGCUUACCAAGGCAACGAUGCGUAGCCGACCUGAGAGGGUGAUCGGCCACACUGGAACUGAGACACGGUCCAGACUCCUACGGGAGGCAGCAGUAGGGAAUCUUCCGCAAUGGGCGAAAGCCUGACGGAGCAACGCCGCGUGAGUGAUGAAGGUCUUCGGAUCGUAAAACUCUGUUAUUAGGGAAGAACAAAUGUGUAAGUAACUAUGCACGUCUUGACGGUACCUAAUCAGAAAGCCACGGCUAACUACGUG